UAAGCAUAUCAAUAAGCGGAGGAAAAGAAACUAACAAGGAUUCCCCUAGUAACGGCGAGUGAAGCGGGAAGAGCUCAACAUUGUAAUCUGGCUGCUUCGCAGUCCGAGUUGUAGUCUAUAGAAGCAUGAUCCGCGCCGGCCCUUGGGCAUGUCUGUUGGAACGCAGUGUCAAAGAGGGUGAAAAUCCCGUACAUACCAAGGACGACCGUGUGCAUUGUGGUCUGCUCUCUAAGAGUCGAGUUGUUUGGGAAUGCAGCUCUAAUUGGGUGGUAAAUUCCAUCUAAAGCUAAAUAUCGACGAGAGACCGAUAGCGAACAAGUACAGUAAUGGAAAGAUGAAAAGUAGCCUGCAGAGGCAAUGAAACAAUACGUGAAACCGUUUGUAGGGAAGCGAUGGAACCUUUUCACGCUGCGAGGGUUCAGCUUGGCUUCGGCUUAGUGUAUUCCCUCGUUUUGCGGACCAGCAUCAGUUUGCUUCGCAGUAUAAGGGUGAUUGGAACGUGGCUUCUCCGGAAGUGUUAUAGCCUUUCACUGGAUGCUGUGUCGCAGACUGAGGACUGCAGUGCGCCGUAAGGCAUGGCCUUCGGGCCACGAGCACUUAGGAUGCUGGGCGAAUGGGUUUCAACGACCC
rnacentral:rRNA from 1 species